GUGUAGCGGUGAAAUGCGUAGAGAUCUGAAGGAAUACCAGUGGCGAAGGCGGCCCCCUGGACAAAGACUGACGCUCAGAUGCGAAAGCGUGGGUAGCAAACAGGAUUAGAUACCCUGGUAGUCCACGCCGUAAACGCUGUCUACUUGGAGGUUGAGGUUUUAGACUUUGGCUUUCGGCGCUAACGCAUUAAGUAGACCGCCUGGGGAGUACGGCCGCAAGGUUAAAACUCAAAUGAAUUGACGGGGGCCCGCACAAGCGGUGGAGCAUGUGGUUUAAUUCGAUGCAACGCGAAGAACCUUACCUACUCUUGACAUCCAGCGAAGCCUUUAGAGAUAGAGGCGUGCCUUCGGGAGCGCUGAGACAGGUGCUGCAUGGCUGUCGUCAGCUCGUGUUGUGAAAUGUUGGGUUAAGUCCCGCAACGAGCGCAACCCUUAUCCUUGUUUGCCAGCACAUAAUGGUGGGAACUCCAGGGAGACUGCCGGUGAUAAACCGGAGGAAGGUGGGGACGACGUCAAGUCAUCAUGGCCCUUACGAGUAGGGCUACACACGUGCUACAAUGGCAGAUACAGAGGGCAGCGAGACAGCGAUGUUUAGCGAAUCCCUUAAAGUUUGUCGUAGUCCGGAUUGGAGUCUGCAACUCGACUCCAUGAAGUCGGAAUCGCUAGUAAUCGUGGAUCAGAAUGCCACGGUGAAUACGUUCCCGGGCCUUGCACACACCGCCCGU
rnacentral:rRNA from 1 species